GAGAGCUUGCUCUCUUGGCGGCGAGUGGCGGACGGGUGAGUAAUAUAUCGGAACGUGCCCAGUAGCGGGGGAUAACUACUCGAAAGAGUGGCUAAUACCGCAUACGCCCUACGGGGGAAAGGGGGGGAUCGCAAGACCUCUCACUAUUGGAGCGGCCGAUAUCGGAUUAGCUAGUUGGUGGGGUAAAGGCUCACCAAGGCAACGAUCCGUAGCUGGUUUGAGAGGACGACCAGCCACACUGGGACUGAGACACGGCCCAGACUCCUACGGGAGGCAGCAGUGGGGAAUUUUGGACAAUGGGGGAAACCCUGAUCCAGCCAUCCCGCGUGUAUGAUGAAGGCCUUCGGGUUGUAAAGUACUUUUGGCAGAGAAGAAAAGGUAUCUCCUAAUACGAGAUACUGCUGACGGUAUCUGCAGAAUAAGCACCGGCUAACUACGUGCCAGCAGCCGCGGUAAUACGUAGGGUGCAAGCGUUAAUCGGAAUUACUGGGCGUAAAGCGUGUGUAGGCGGUUCGGAAAGAAAGAUGUGAAAUCCCAGGGCUCAACCUUGGAACUGCAUUUUUAACUGCCGAGCUAGAGUAUGUCAGAGGGGGGUAGAAUUCCACGUGUAGCAGUGAAAU
rnacentral:rRNA from 1 species